UUAAUUCGUAUGCAACGCGAGAACCUUACCUAACGGCGUUGACAUACACCGGUAACGCCCAGAGAUGGGUGCCCCUUUGUGGUCGGUGGACAGGUGGUGCAUGGUUGUCGUCAGCUCGUGUCGUGAGAUGUUGGGUUAAGUCCCGCAACGAGCGCAACCCUCGUCCUAUGUUGCCAGCGGGUCAUGCCGGGGACUCAUGGGAGACUGCCGGGGUCAACUCGGAGGAAGGUGGGGAUGGCGUCAAAUCAUCAUGCCCCUUAUGUCUUGGGCUUCACGCAUGCUACAAUGGCCGGUACAAAGGGCUGCGAUACCGCGAGGUGGAGCGAAUCCCAGAAAGCCGGUCUCAGUUCGGAUUGGGGUCUGCAACUCGACCCCAUGAAGUCGGAGUCGCUAGUAAUCGCAGAUCAGCAACGCUGCGGUGAAUACGUUCCCGGGCCUU
rnacentral:rRNA from 1 species